rnacentral:rRNA from 1 species
GAACGCUGGCGGCGUGCUUAACACAUGCAAGUCGAACGGAAAGGCCUCUUCGGAGGUACUCGAGUGGCGAACGGGUGAGUAACACGUGGGUGAUCUGCCCUGCACUCUGGGAUAAGCCUGGGAAACUGGGUCUAAUACCGGAUAGGACCAUGCUUUAGUGUGUGUGGUGGAAAGUUUUUUCGGUGUAGGAUGAGCCCGCGGCCUAUCAGCUUGUUGGUGGGGUAAUGGCCUACCAAGGCGGCGACGGGUAGCCGGACUGAGAGGUUGGUCGGCCACAUUGGGACUGAGAUACGGCCCAGACUCCUACGGGAGGCAGCAGUGGGGAAUAUUGCACAAUGGGCGCAAGCCUGAUGCAGCGACGCCGCGUGGGGGAUGACGGCCUUCGGGUUGUAAACUCCUUUCGCCAGGGACGAAGCGUUUUGUGACGGUACCUGGAGAAGAAGCACCGGCUAACUACGUGCCAGCAGCCGCGGUAAUACGUAGGGUGCAAGCGUUGUCCGGAAUUACUGGGCGUAAAGAGCUCGUAGGUGGUUUGUCACGUCGUCUGUGAAAUUCCACAGCUUAACUGUGGGCGUGCAGGCGAUACGGGCUGACUUGAGUACUGUAGGGGUAACUGGAAUUCCUGGUGUAGCGGUGAAAUGCGCAGAUAUCAGGAGGAACACCGAUGGCGAAGGCAGGUUACUGGGCAGUUACUGACGCUGAGGAGCGAAAGCAUGGGUAGCAAACAGGAUUAGAUACCCUGGUAGUCCAUGCCGUAAACGGUGGGCGCUAGGUGUAGGGACCUUUUGGGGUUUCUGUGCCGUAGCUAACGCAUUAAGCGCCCCGCCUGGGGAGUACGGCCGCAAGGCUA